AUGCACGCUGGCGGCGUGCCUCAUACAUGCCAGUCGCGCGAACAGACGAGGAGCUUGCUCCUCUGACGUUAGCGGCGGACGGGUGAGUAACACGUGGAUAACCUACCUAUAAGACUGGGAUAACUUCGGGAAACCGGAGCUAAUACCGGAUAAUAUAUUGAACCGCAUGGUUCAAUAGUGAAAGACGGUUUUGCUGUCACUUAUAGAUGGAUCCGCGCCGCAUUAGCUAGUUGGUAAGGUAACGGCUUACCAAGGCAACGAUGCGUAGCCGACCUGAGAGGGGGAUCGGCCACACUGGAACUGAGACACGGUCCAGACUCCUAAGGGAGGCAGCAGUAGGGAAUCUUCCGCAAUGGGCGAAAGCCUGACGGAGCAACGCCGCGUGAGUGAUGAAGGUCUUCGGAUCGUAAAACUCUGUUAUUAGGGAAGAACAAAUGUGUAAGUAACUAUGCACGUCUUGACGGUACCUAAUCAGAAAGCCACGGCUAACUACGUG
rnacentral:rRNA from 1 species